AUUAACACUUGAUAACACUCGUUAACACGAAUAUCUAUGAACACAGUCAAGUUUUUUAUUAGUAUAGCCAAGUAGGUUAGAUAACACUAAUCUCAUGACAUUUCUCCUUUCAACCGAAACUGUUUUACAGAUUCGUUGUUCAACGCAAUGACAACCCCAAUCAUUGCGUUUUUUUUGCUUUAAAUAUUUA
rnacentral:sRNA from 18 species